rnacentral:rRNA from 1 species
UACAUGGGGUGCAACCGUUGCUCGGAAUUAUUGGGCGUAAAGCGCGCGUAGGCGGUUACUUAAGUCGGAUGUGAAAGCCCUCGGCUUAACUGAGGAAGUGCAUCCGAAACUGAGUAGCUAGAGUACGAAAGAGGGUCGCGGAAUUCCCGGUGUAGAGGUGAAAUUCGUAGAUAUCGGGAGGAACACCGGUGGCGAAGGCGGCGACCUGGGUCGAGACUGACGCUGAGGCGCGAAAGCGUGGGGAGCAAACAGG